GAUAAAAAAUUAUGGCAAAUUACAUUUAUUCAAUAACAACAAUAAGCAUCAAUUAAUUUUUCUCAUAAAACAAUAGAGAAUGUUAACCAACUUCUCAAUUCAAAUUGGCUACAGAAUAUAAUUAUAAUGGAGUUCAAAUAUUUUAGGUAGGAUCAGAUAAAUAGAUAAUAUUUCUUAUAAUCCUAUUAAAAGGCUAUUCUAAAAUAGCAAAACAAAAUCUUGAAUAUUCUUAAUACCAAAUGUUAUGUAUUGUAUUGUAUGGUCGUAUGUGUUUUGUAGUUUAGUCGUAAGAGUUGUGUCCCUUUGUACAUGUUGUAUGAUGAUGAUGCAUAUUUGUCAUGUGAUGUUAUCAGUCUCUUUGAAAUAAAUGUGCUAUGGAAAUAGACGUGUUUUUGUUGCUCUUAAGCAAAUAUAACUUUAGCGGCAUGGGGAGGCAAGUAUAGUCCCCACCAUGUAUAAUAUGGUGGAGGACUUCAAAA
rnacentral:lncRNA from 1 species